rnacentral:rRNA from 1 species
UCAUACGUAGGACCCAAGCGUUAUCCGGAAUUACUGGGCGUAAAGAGUUGCGUAGGUGGCAGAGUAAGUAAGAUGUGAAAGCGUCCCGCUCAACGGGAUAAACAUAUCUUAAACUGCUCAGCUAGAGAACGAGAGAGGUAGAUGGAAUUCCCAGUGUAGGAGUGAAAUCCGUAGAUAUUGGGAGGAACACCGAUGGCGUAGGCAGUCUACUGGCUCGUUUCUGACACUAAGGCACGAAAGCGUGGGGAGCAAACAGGAUUAGAUACCCUGGUAGUCCACGCCGUAAACUAUGGAUGCUAGCUGUUAUUCGUAUCGACCCGAGUAGUAGCGAAGCUAACGCGUUAAGCAUCCCGCCUGUGGAGUACGGUCGCAAGACUAAAACAUAAAGGAAUUGACGGGGACCCGCACAAGCGGUGGAGCGUGUUGUUUAAUUCGAUGGUAAGCGAAGAACCUUACCCAGGCUUGACAUCCUUGGAAGCACUGCGAAAGCAGAGUGUGCCUUCGGGAACC